rnacentral:rRNA from 1 species
CCUACGGGAGGCAGCAGUGAGGAAUAUUGGUCAAUGGCCGUAAGGCUGAACCAGCCAAGUAGCGUGAGGGAAGACUGCCCUAUGGGUUGUAAACCUCUUUUAUGCGGGGAUAAAGGUGUCCACGAGUGGAUGUUUGCAGGUACCGCAUGAAUAAGGACCGGCUAAUUCCGUGCCAGCAGCCGCGGUACUACGGAAGGUCCGGGCGUUCUCCGGCUUUGUUGGGUUUAAAGGGAGCGUAGGGCGGUCGUUAAGGGUGCCGUGAAAUUUUGUGGCGCAACCAUGAGAGUGCGGUGCGAACUGGAGACCUUGAGUGAGCGGAAGGCAGGCGGAAUUCGUGGUGUAGCGGUGAAAUGCUUAGAUAUCACGCAGAACCCCGAUUGCGAAGGCAGCCUGCCGCAGCGUUACUGACGCUGAAGCUCGAAAGCGCGGGUAUCGAACAGGAUUAGAUACCCGGGUAGUC